AUACGGAGGGUGCAAGCGUUAUUCGGAAUCACUGGGCGUAAAGGACGCGUAGGCGGGUUGGCAAGUCAGAUGUGAAAUCCUACAGCUUAACUGUAGUACUGCAUUUGAAACUGCUAACCUAGAGUAUGGGAGGGGGAGAUGGAAUUAGUGGUGUAGGGGUAAAAUCCGUAGAUAUCACUAGGAAUACCGAAAGCGAAGGCGAUCUCCUGGAACAUAACUGACGCUAAGGCGUGAAAGCGUGGGGAGCAAACAGGAUUAGAAACCCUAGUAGUCC
rnacentral:rRNA from 1 species